AUGAUGUUGUCAAUAACUCUGAUUGUCGUGUUGGGUUUUCUGAGUCAGGAAUCUUCUGCAAACCAAUUUCUGACUCAGGCUGACAAAUCCAAGUCUGUUAGUGUUGGAGGGACCGUGAGCAUCAGCGCCACAGGGAGUUCAGAUAUUGGUGCUGAUCUCAGUUGGUACCUUCAGAAACCUGGACAGGCUCCCAAACUCCUUAUAUACAGAGUAUCAACUCUCUUCUCAGGGACUGCGUCUCGAUUCAGUGGCAGUAGCUCUGGUUCUCACUACACUUUAACCAUCACAGGUGUUCAGACUGACGAUGCUGGAGAUUACUACUGUCUGGGCUACCAUGGUAGUGGAGUGUUCACACAGUGA